rnacentral:rRNA from 1 species
UACGUAGGUGGCAAGCGUUAUCCGGAAUUAUUGGGCGUAAAGAGCGCGCAGGUGGUUGAUUAAGUCUGAUGUGAAAGCCCACGGCUUAACCGUGGAGGGUCAUUGGAAACUGGUCGACUUGAGUGCAGAAGAGGGAAGUGGAAUUCCAUGUGUAGCGGUGAAAUGCGUAGAGAUAUGGAGGAACACCAGUGGCGAAGGCGGCUUCCUGGUCUGUAACUGACACUGAGGCGCGAAAGCGUGGGGAGCAAACAGGAUUAGAUACCCU